rnacentral:rRNA from 1 species
CAGUCGCCGCGGUAAUACGAAGGGGGCUAGCGUUGCUCGGAAUUACUGGGCGUAAAGGGCGCGUAGGCGGAUGUUUAAGUCAGAGGUGAAAGCCCAGGGCUCAACCUUGGAACUGCCUUUGAUACUGGACAUCUUGAGUGUGGGAGAGGUGAGUGGAACUCCGAGUGUAGAGGUGAAAUUCGUAGAUAUUGGGAAGAACACCGGUGGCGAAGGCGGCUACCUGGUCUUUUACUGACGCUGAGGCGCGAAAGCGUGGGGAGCAAACAGGAUUAGAGACCCCUGUAGUCCCUGUCUCUUAUAC